UUUGUGGUUUGUGUUUUAGGUUUUCAUUUGCAAGAAAUGUAUAUGAUAAUGAUUUUUUUUUAUAAAGUUUUAAGUGAGUAGAGAUUAUAUGUGAUAAUAUAUAUUUUGCUUGUUUACAAUAAUUUUUUUUAUAUCAAAGAGUUGUGGCAUUUAUAUGUUGUGAGAGUUUUAAAUGGUCUUCAUAUUGUUUCUUUUUACAAAAAUUUGAUUUUAUAUUCGGUGUGUUAUUUGUGGCGCAGCGUGUAAUAUUUUGGAUUCAGAAGGAUUGGAUUGUGGGUAAUUUUGUGUAUGUUAUAAGAGUAAUUACUUUUAUGUUGAAAACAAAGUCAUCCGACAUGUUAUUGGAGUGGAAUUGGUGAUUAUUUGAAGUUGCAUUUCUUAGUAAAAGUAGAAUGUUAUAUUGAGUGCGAAGAAGGUAAUGCAAAGAAGGUAAAACAAAGUAACCAAAAUAAGAAAACAUUGAAACUAUAAAGUGUGAAAACUGAGUAGUGGCCGAUGAGUUUAUAUUAAUAACAUUAAUCGAUGCAUCGAUUUUUCAGAUUAUUGAGAUGGCGCUUUUUGGUGGAAUUAUAAAGAUCAUAUUUGUUCCAUAACACUUCUUUUUUUAAUAUAGAGACUUUGCAUAAGUAAUGUUUUAUCUAUCUCAAAAUUUGACAGCUCCAGAUAUGUUGGUUUACCGUUCACGACGAUCCAUAGAUUUCAUGCAUUCUUCAUGUUCUCCUGUGCAUAG
rnacentral:lncRNA from 1 species